rnacentral:rRNA from 1 species
AUAACUCGCCAGACGAACUACUAGCAAAUGCUUAAAACUCAAAUGGACUUGGCGGUGCCCUAAACCCAUCAUACGAGGAGCCUGUUCUAUAAUCGAUAAACCCCGAUAAACCUCACCCUCUCUUGCCAAUACAGUCUAUAUACCGCCAUCGUCAGCUCACCCCACAGGGGCAAAAAAGCAGGCAAAAUUAUUACCCAUAAAAACGUUAGGUGCAAGGUGUAACAUAUGAGAAGGAAAGUAAAUGGGCUACAUUCUUCUACCCUAGAGUACUACGAAUCAUUCUUAUGAAACNAAGAUGCUUGAAGGAGGAUUUNNUAGUACNNNNNNNNAAAAGGAGCUGGUAUCAGGCACACUUUCAGUAGCCCAUUACACCUUGCUUAACCACACCCCCACGGGACACAGCAGUGACUAACAUUAAGCCAUAAACGAAAGUUUGACUAAGUUAUAAUUAUUUAGGGUUGGUAAAUUUCGUGCCAGCCACCGCGGUCAUACGAUUAACCCAAAUUAAUAGAAAAACGGCGUAAAGCGUGUUUAAAUAAUUAAAUUAGCAAUAAAGUUAAUAUCUAACUAAACUGUAAUACGUUAUAGUUAGUACUAAAAUAUACUACUAAAGUGACUUUACUUCAAUUGAAUACACGACNGCUAAGACAA